rnacentral:hammerhead_ribozyme from 1 species
AUCCAGCUGACGGGUCCAAAAUAGGACGAAACGCGCGUCGAACUGGAU